UUUUUUUUUUUUUUUUUUUUUUUUUUUUUUUUUUUCUA
rnacentral:ribozyme from 1 species